rnacentral:sRNA from 1 species
AAGGGAGCAGCACCGAGCUCGCCUCCACACCCCCAACAGCUGUCUCCUUUCUAGGAUAAGCACAAUCAAACGGGGUUGCCAGGAAAGAGAACUGCAGGCCAGAUGUAUGCCUGGCUGCCUUCGCCACUCGGAGGCAGGGAGCGUGGGGGAGGGCCGCCAGUGCCGCAGUUCAGACUCCAGAUGCUGCCAGGCAGGGUGCCAGGCCGGCCUUUUAGAGGCAAUAAUCCGAACAGUUUAAAGGAGUAGAGUCAUUUUCAAAAAGGGAAAGAACGCUCUUCCUGGGCAAGUCAUUCAUCAAAGACGCCUUGAAAUGUAAGGCCCACGCUCUGCGGCACAGGUUCGGCUGCAUAAGCCGGAAGUGCCCGGCCAUCAGGGAAAUGGUGUUCCAGUUGCAGCGGGAAUGCUACCUCAAGCACGACCUGUGCGCGGCUGCCCAGGAGAACACCCGGGUGAUAGUGGAGAUGAUCCAUUUCAAGGACUUGCUGCUGCACGAACCCUACGUGGACCUCGUGAACUUGCUGCUGACCUGUGGCGAGGAGGUGAAGGAGGCCAUCACCCACAGCGU